CCCCAGCUAUUCCCAUGAAGUGCUUUGAGAAGAGCCACAUCCCGACUCACUCGCGAGGACUGCCAAUAUUUGCCAACGUUUCUACCACACCCAGGGCUUCUCGACCACCGUAAUAACUCAGCCAAGAAAAGGCGAGCCAACUUGAGCAAGGGGAGCUUCUCUGUGACAAGAGCGAAGGCCACGAUGGGAACCAUUAGCUCCACGGAUCGUCAAAAGGCCCAGGAUUCGACCGGGGCUGCUGCCGAAUAUUGCCUUAAUGCUGCCUCAACAGUUUCAACUGUUGCGGGACCACUAGGCAUACCGGUAGCGAUUGGAAUGUUAGUGGCCGGCGCUGGAGCAGCUGUUGCCAAGGUUGCAGUUUCAGCUUUGCCAGGUGAUGAGGAGGAGUAGCAGGAAUGCGUCCAACCGAAUCCUGUGAUUGGCACGGCAAGGGCACCUCCAGAAGACAAUCUGCGGGUUCUUUUUCUUAAAAGCAGCAUGUACUGUACCGAGGCCAGUAGCGCUAAUCAACUGCGCUGGCGGUAACUUUUAGCCAAGAAUUGAAAUUGGUUAUCUUAUGAAAUAAAACACGUUUCAGCAAUGUA